UCCCCGUAUUUAGAAGACACAGUUAAGAGGGACGAACACAGCAAAAUAAAUUUGUACCAAAAGCAAAUUUAAUUGUACACCUUUCUUUUCAUAAAAUGUGUGUAUUGUAAUAUUUUAACACGUGUAGCUUUCUUUCUCUGCAUAAUACAUCUGUACUAUAUUUACCCAUCUAAACCCUAUUACUGAAGAAGAACCGACCAUUUAUUUCUCUCAAAGCCGGUGGUGAAAGAGGAUUAGAAAUUUCUUCCUAUUCAGAUUUGUUAAUGCUUUUUUGGUCCAAACAUAUUUCAAUCCAGAUGAACACUGGCAAGUCCUUGAAGUUGCUCAUCGAAUCUCAUUUGGAUGUGGACAUUUGACGUGGGAAUAGGAAAAGGGUAUAAGGAGUUAUCUUCAUCCAGUGAUAUUUGCUGGAUUGUAUAAAGUUCUUGCCCUUUUUCAUCUUGACAAACCUUGUUUCAUGGUAAGAAUUGUAUAUCCUGGUUGCCUACCUAAUGUAUCAAAUAAUGGUAGAGAAGCAGCUUCAAAGACAAGGUAAGAUUAUACAUGUAAUGGCUUAUGUGAGCAAAUUUUUUUUGACAUGUUCGAAACUACCUUAUUCUGCUUCUUUUUGUAAUUUAAUUCUGUCACUUUUCUUCUCAGAUGAACUUUGUUUUAACAACAUGAACUCGAUAAUUAUUUGUAGAUGUCUACAUCUUUAUGGGUUUGGCAUUUGUUGAAGAACUUUUCUUUCACAUUAUGAAAUUUUAGUAUAUAUUUUGACCUUAUAGUCUAAACUGAAAAGACGCUGAUAUUUUAUAUUUAGGCGAAAACAUUUUUAUGUUUAGGCAAACUUGAUUCGAAUCCUUUUUAAUCAUCUAGAUUUUUCCGUCUUAAAUGUUGUUCACCGUGAAUAAAGUACUGACAAUUGAAUGCAUUGAUGAAGCACCGAUAUUUUUCUUAAUUGUCUUCCACAAUUUUUCUUGGAUUCUUGUGAGUUCUGACAGAUGUCUCUUAAAAUACAUUCAUAAUUUUGUUGUCAAUAUUAUGCAGGUCUAGCUCUAAAAUACUAAAAAUUAGUAGUAUUUUCUUAUCAAUAUAUGAUACUUUUUGUAGAUAAGUAAUGGCUUGAUGUGGUCACAUGUUUGACGAAUUUUCCCAGUGAAGGUAUAACUUGUGUAUUAUGAAGAGAGAUUAGUUACAUGAGUUGAUUUUGUUGGUGGAAUGAAGUUGAACGGUGGGCUUAGAUGAAUAGACAUUUUCCUCUAUAAUAUCUGUUUUUCAUAUGGUAUUUUUCCCCAAUAAAAUGAGUAAUUUUUAUAUGUUAAAGGUUUCUGCUUUGGAGUGAUUUUAUUUUCCUGUGAUGUCACAACUUUAAGGUAAUUAUUGAGAAAGAAUCUGAGUUGCCGAAUUUUUUGAUGCUGCCAUGAAAUAAGAAGUUAUAUGGUAAUGCUAAAAAUUCAGGGCGAAAAUGUUGAUUUCAGGCUCUCCAAUCUCCAAGUCCUCUAAGGUACCAUUCCCAUUUUCUUAAGAAGCUUUAAACUUUUUGGCCGUUUUCUUUUGACAACUGAAUUUU